CUAUCAGGUAGUAGUGGGUGUAGCGUACCUACUAGCCUACGACGGGUACGGGUUGUGAGAGCAAGAGCCCGGAGAUGGAUUCUGAGACACGAAUCCAGGCCCUACGGGGUGCAGCAGGCGCGAAAACUUUACAAUGCUGGCAACAGCGAUAAGGGAACCUCGAGUGCCAGGUUACAAAUCUGGCUGUCGAGAUGCCUAAAAAGCAUUUCAUAGCAAGGGCCGGGCAAGACCGGUGCCAGCCGCCGCGGUAACACCGGCGGCUCGAGUGGUAACCGUUAUUAUUGGGUCUAAAGGGUCUGUAGCCGGCCGGAUAAGUCUCUUGAGAAAUCUGGCAGCUUAACUGUCAGGCUUUCAGGAGAUACUGUCUGGCUCGAGGCCGGGAGAGGUGAGAGGUACUUCAGGGGUAGGGGUGAAAUCUUGUAAUCCUUGAAGGACCACCAGUGGCGAAGGCGUCUCACCAGAACGGACCUGACGGCAAGGGACGAAAGCUAGGGGCACGAACCGGAUUAGAUACCCGGGUAGUCCUAGCCGUAAACGAUACUCGCUAGGUGUCGGCCACGGUGCGACCGUUGUCGGUGCCGUAGGGAAGCCGUGAAGCGA
rnacentral:rRNA from 1 species